rnacentral:misc_RNA from 1 species
AAGUCGUAACAAGGUUUCCGUAGGUGAACCUGCGGAAGGAUCAUUAACAGUUUAUGUUUGUGUCUGUUGUUGUGAUGUGUGUGAUCUGUGACAAUUGCCAUUUGGUUGGCAAUGUUAUUUUUUUAACCAUGUUUUUUAUCACCUGUCUUAUACCAUACCAUAUAUACAAUUAUCGAAAACUGCCAGCAAUGGAUCACUCGGUUCUU